rnacentral:rRNA from 1 species
AACGAACGCUGGCGGCAGGCCUAACACAUGCAAGUCGAGCGGGACCUUGCCUUCGGGUGAGUGUCUAGCGGCGGACGGGUGAGGAACACGUGGGAACAUGCCUUUCGGUACGGAAUAGCCUCGGGAAACUGGGAGUAAUACCGUAUACGUCCUUAGGGAGAAAGAUUUAUCGCCGAAAGAUUGGCCCGCGUUAGAUUAGCUAGUUGGUGGGGUAAGAGCCUACCAAGGCGACGAUCUAUAGCUGGUUUGAGAGGAUGAUCAGCCACACUGGGACUGAGACACGGCCCAGACUCCUACGGGAGGCAGCAGUGAGGAAUAUUGGACAAUGGGGGCAACCCUGAUCCAGCCAUGCCGCGUGAGUGAAGAAGGCCCUAGGGUUGUAAAGCUCUUUCAGAUGUGAAGAUGAUGACCGUAGCAUCAAAAGAAGCCCCGGCUAACUUCGUGCCAGCCGCCGCCGUAACAC